UUUGACUGAUGUGUAUCAUUUCCAAGAUAUGAUUGAAAUGCUUGUUGGGUGUGGCUACAAGAAAAGAACCACAUUGCUUGGUUAUGGUUAUGACUUCAGGCAAAGCAAUAGAAUUGAUAAGCUGAUGGAUGGCCUUAAAGCCAAGUUGGAAACUUCUUGCAAAGCCACUAGUGGAAGGAAAGUUAACUUGUUACUUUUCUUUGUUGAUGUUAUUUCUGGCUUGAAUGUAGGUCUAAUU